rnacentral:rRNA from 1 species
AUUGAACGCUGGCGGCAUGCUUUACACAUGCAAGUCGAACGGCAGCACGGGCUUCGGCCUGGUGGCGAGUGGCGAACGGGUGAGUAAUGCAUCGGAACGUGCCCAUUUGUGGGGGAUAACUACGCGAAAGCGUGGCUAAUACCGCAUACGCCCUGAGGGGGAAAGCGGGGGAUUCUUCGGAACCUCGCGCAAUUGGAGCGGCCGAUGUCAGAUUAGCUUGUUGGUGAGGUAAAGGCUCACCAAGGCGACGAUCUGUAGCGGGUCUGAGAGGAUGAUCCGCCACACUGGGACUGAGACACGGCCCAGACUCCUACGGGAGGCAGCAGUGGGGAAUUUUGGACAAUGGGGGCAACCCUGAUCCAGCCAUGCCGCGUGAGUGAAGAAGGCCUCGG